AAUAAAUGGACAUUUCUGGACUAUAACGACAGAAUCAAUCGAAACAAAAGGACCAUUUGUGAUGUUUGUGGGACAUUUUGGAGUGCCAACAGAAGAAGCUCAUCAAAGUUCCCUGUGGGUAGAUGGUCAGCCUGUGACAUCUACUGGCAUGGAGUGUCCUUCCAUGACAACGAUAACAUCCUCUCUGGACAGGUCAACAAGUUCCCAGGUAUGAUAGAGAUGCUGAGAAAGAUCAACCUGAGCCGAGCGGUGAGGACCAUGCAGGAGCUGUUCCCUGAGGAGUACAAAUUCUACCCCCGCUCCUGGAUCCUACCUAGGGAGUACCACCGCUCCUGAAUCCUACCUGAGGAGUACAACUUCUACCACCGCUCCUGAAUCCUACCUGAGGAGUACAACUUCUACCCCCGCUCCUGGAUCCUACCUGAGGAGUACCACCGCUCCUGAAUCCUACCUGAGGAGUACAAUUUCUACCACCGCUCCUGGAUCCUACCUGAGGAGUACAACUUAUACCCCCGCUCCUGGAUCCUACCUGGGGAGUACCACCGCUCCUGGAUCCUACCUGAGGAGUACCACCGCUCCUGGAUCCUACCUGAGGAGUACAACUUCUACCACCGCUCCUGGAGCCUAC
ensembl:lncRNA